rnacentral:rRNA from 1 species
ACCUACGGGGCGCAGCAGUGAGGAAUAUUGGUCAAUGGGCUUACGCCUGAACCAGCCAAGUCGCGUGAGGGAAGACUGCCCUAUGGGUUGUAAACUUCUUUUGUCAAGGGACAAAAUCAGGCUCGAGAGCCUGACCGAGGGUACUUGAAGAAAAAGCAUCGGCUAACUCCGUGCCAGCAGCCGCGGUAAUACGGAGGAUGCGAGCGUUAUCCGGAUUUAUUGGGUUUAAAGGGUGCGUAGGCGGGCUG